GAGGACGACCUGGACACCUGCUUGUCAGGCGAUGCUGUUUACUCUGGAGGGAGUGACGGUGACUUGUGUAUCGCUGGGCAUCCCUGGGGACGUAGCUCACCCGGGUUCCUAUCCCACAUAAGGUAUGCUCUGCUGGAUCCAGAGGGAGGACUGCUUCCACCAGGAGAGACAAUUGAACUAAAUUCCAUUGAACUAGAAGUUAAGACUGCCAUCCAACCACUUUGGGCUCCCCUCGUGCCUCUGAGUCAACAGGCCAAUAAGGGAGUUAUGGUGUUGGCUGGGGACUACCAUGACUACCAUGGGGAAAUCUGACAUAAAAGAGUGUGGUUCUUGUUUGGACGAAUGGAAGCAAGAUGGUGCACUUCCGGGUUCUUCUUCACCACCAACUCUUCCCGCACGUGUGAAAAUGCAGCCGGCGCCCGGGAAAGUGCAGAUCAACUGGGCAUGCGCCAGGUGACGUCAAUCCGAAG